GACGAACGCUGGCGGCGUGCUUAACACAUGCAAGUCGAACGGAAAGGUCCUGCUUUUUUGGGGUGCUCGAGUGGCGAACGGGUGAGUAACACGUGAGUAACCUGCCCUUGACUUUGGGAUAUCUUCAGGAAACUGGGGCUAAUACCGGAUAGGAGUUCCUGCUGCAUGGUGGGGGUUGGAAAGUUUCGGCGGUUGGGGAUGGAAUCGCGGCUUAUCAGGUUGGUGGAGGGGUAGUGGCUUACCAAGGCUUUGACGGGUAGCAUGCCUGAGAGGGUGACAGGCCCCACUGGGACUGAGAUACGGCACAGACUCCUCCGGGAGGCAGCAGUGGAGAAUAUUGCACAAUGGACGGAAGCCUGAUGCAGCAACGCCGCGUGGGGGAUGACGGCAUUCGGGUUGUAAACCGCUUUCGCCUGUGACGAAGCGUGAGUGACGGUAAUGGGUAAAGAAGCACCGGCUAACUACGUG
rnacentral:rRNA from 1 species